AUUGAACGCUGGCGGCAUGCCUUACACAUGCAAGUCGAGCGGUAACGGGCCUUCGGGUGCCGACGAGUGGCGGACGGGUGAGUAAUGUAUCGGAACGUACCUUUCAGUGGGGGAUAACGUAGCGAAAGUUACGCUAAUACCGCAUAUUCUGUGAGCAGGAAAGCAGGGGAUCGCAAGACCUUGCGCUGAUUGAGCGGCCGAUAUCAGAUUAGCUAGUUGGUGAGGUAAAGGCUCACCAAGGCGACGAUCUGUAGCGGGUCUGAGAGGAUGAUCCGCCACACUGGAACUGAGACACGGUCCAGACUCCUACGGGAGGCAGCAGUGGGGAAUUUUGGACAAUGGGGGCAACCCUGAUCCCCAUGCCGCGUGAGUGAAGAAGGCCUUCGGGUUGUAAAGCUCUUUCGGCCGGGAAGAAAUCGUAUCAGCUAAUACCUGGUGCGGAUGACGGUACCGGCAUAAGAAGCACCGGCUAACUACGUGCCAGCCGCCGCCGUAACAC
rnacentral:rRNA from 1 species